rnacentral:lncRNA from 1 species
ACCUGACGGACCAGCAGCUGAUGCAGGUGGCCAAACGCAUGGGGAGGGAGUGGAAGGUCGUGGCCAUCAGCUGUCUGGGCCUCAGCAAGCAGGACCUGGAGGAGAUGGAGGUCGCCGAGGAGAGCGUGACCAUGCUGAAGUUCAACAUGCUGGAGCGCUGGAGACGACGACAGCCCAAGGGGAAAGCGGGAAUUCAGGAUCUCCUCAAGUGUUUGAAAGACAACGAUGACGUGCCGAAUGAGGUCAUUGCUGCGCUGGACGAGAUGCUACAAAAGAACUCAGCCACAUGAACAUUAGCUGUCUGGAGUCUGUGGACUGACAGAUGGUCAGGAGUCAUCUUAACCACUGUUCGAGAGCGAUGGAGACGUCCUGGAAGAGCAGGCCGGUCGCGCUCAAGUCUGGACGGAGAUGUUUGUGCUCCGACUGGAAUCUGGUGCUUUCAGGAAAACUGAGCUCUGAAUACACCAGACACGCUUAGUAUGUCUGUAGACUUGUACACUUUGCAUGCAUCUCUUUAUUUUGCGCUUGUGUUUGUAUAUAUUUUAAGAUACUGUACAUAUUUGAAUGUCUUUGUAAGGACUGUACAGUAAGUAGAACUCUGUUUGUUUUGUUGCAUUAUGAGAUUAAGUGAUCAUCUGCACUUGUUUUUGAGGAACAGGCUGAUUUUGAUCUCAGGUGCCAUCGGUCUCUGAUGGUUAUGGACUGACGUUAUAGUAAAUAUGAUAUCAUGAUAUUCAUGCAGAUACGGGCUCCUCCGCACAUGUGACUCUGGUGGAGAAUCUUUUCUCGGUCUCUGAAGCGUUUGUUGGGGAACCCGUACGAUGUGCUGUCUCAGGGGAGUCUUUAUUCGGACCUUUCUUUAAAUCAAUAAAUCAUGAAAAUGAAUGAAAACACAAAUUGUUCUUCCGUCAUAAACCAGAGCAUUUCAGGACAAGUUACAUUUUGCAGUUUAGUUUCAAUCAACACUCUUUUAAGAGUCCAUGCUCAGGCGGUAAUUAAGCAUCAGCACACUGGUAGUUCAUGAUUAACUGAACAUGUACUAAAGGCAGGUCAGCACUAGCUCUGCGGUAGUUAAGCACGAACACACCAGUAAUCAACAAUUAACUGAACAUACACACAAGGGC